rnacentral:rRNA from 1 species
UUUAAUGAGAGUUUGAUCCUGGCUCAGGACGAACGCUGGCGGCGUGCCUAAUACAUGCAAGUAGAACGCUGAAGUCUGGUGCUUGCACUAGACGGAUGAGUUGCGAACGGGUGAGUAACGCGUAGGUAACCUGCCUCAUAGCGGGGGAUAACUAUUGGAAACGAUAGCUAAUACCGCAUAACAGUAUUUACCGCAUGGUAGAUACUUGAAAGGAGCAAUUGCUUCACUAUGAGAUGGACCUGCGUUGUAUUAGCUAGUUGGUGAGGUAACGGCUCACCAAGGCAUCGAUACAUAGCCGACCUGAGAGGGUGAUCGGCCACACUGGGACUGAGA